AGUGAACGCUGGCGGUAGGCCUAACACAUGCAAGUCGAACGGCAGCACAGUAAGAGUUUGCUCGUACGGGUGGCGAGCGGCGGACGGGUGAGGAAUACAUCGGAAUCUACUUUUUCGUGGGGGAUAACGUAGGGAAACUUACGCUAAUACCGCAUACGACCUACGGGUGAAAGCAGGGGAUCUUCGGACCUUGCGCGAUUGAAUGAGCCGAUGUCGGAUUAGCUAGUUGGCGGGGUAAAGGCCCACCAAGGCGACGAUCCGUAGCUGGUCUGAGAGGAUGAUCAGCCAAACUGGAACUGAGACACGGUCCAGACUCCUACGGGAGGCAGCAGUGGGGAAUAUUGGACAAUGGGCGCAAGCCUGAUCCAGCCAUACCGCGUGGGUGAAGAAGGCCUUCGGGUUGUAAAGCCCUUUUGUUGGGAAAGAAAAGCAGCAGGUUAAUACCCCGCUGUUCUGACGGUACCCAAAGAAUAAGCACCGGCUAACUUCGUG
rnacentral:rRNA from 1 species